rnacentral:tRNA from 1 species
AGGGGUAUGGCUCAGUGGUAGAGUGCAUGCCUAGCGUGCAUGAGAUCCUGGGUUCAGCCCCCAGUACCUCCA